AGUGAACGCUGGCGGUAGGCCUAACACGUGCAAGUCGAACGGCAGCACAGUAAGAGCUUGCUCUUACGGGUGGCGAGUGGCGGACGGGUGAGGAAUACAUCGGAAUCUACUUUUUCGUGGGGGAUAACGUAGGGAAACUUACGCUAAUACCGCAUACGACCUACGGGUGAAAGCAGGGGAUCUUCGGACCUUGCGCGAUUGAAUGAGCCGAUGUCGGAUUAGCUAGUUGGCGGGGUAAAGGCCCACCAAGGCGACGAUCCGUAGCUGGUCUGAGAGGAUGAUCAGCCACAAGGGAAGUGAGACAGGGUCCAGACUCCGACGGGAGGCAGCAGUGGGGAAUAUGGGACAAGGGGCGCAAGCCUGAUCCAGCCAUACCGCGGGGGUGAAGAAGGCCUUCGGGUGGCAAAGCCCUUUUGUGGGGAAAGAAAAGAAGCAGGUUAAUACCCCGCUGUUCUGGCGGUACCCAAAGAAUAAACACCGGCUAACUUCGU
rnacentral:rRNA from 1 species